GGAUCCCAAGUNUCAUUCUUAAAGGGAUGACUUUUCAUUUGUGUAAAAAGCUUUUGGAAUAAGAGCUGGGCAAGACUGGUGCCAGCCGCCGCGGUAACACCAGCAGCUCGAGUGGUGGUCGUUUUUAUUGGGCCUAAAGCGUUCGUAGCCGGUUUUUUAAGUCUUUGGUGAAAGUCUAUAGCUUAACUGUAGAAAUUGCUGGGGAUACUAUUGACCUUGAGGCCGGGAGAGGUUAGAGGUACUCCCAGGGUAGGGGUGAAAUCCUGUAAUCCUGGGAGGACCACCUGUGGCGAAGGCGUC
rnacentral:rRNA from 1 species